GACGAACGCUGGCGGCGUGCCUAAUACAUGCAAGUCGAACGGUUUAGUUCCAAGAGGCUUGCCUUUUGGAACUAGACAGUGGCGGACGGGUGAGUAACACGUAGGCAACCUACCUGUCAAACCGGGAUAACCUCGGGAAACCGAAGCUAAACCCGGAUAAGCUCCUUUUUCGCAUGAAGGGGGAGUGAAAAGGUGCGACCUGAUGACAGAUGGGCCUGCGGCGCAUUAGCUAGUAGGUAGGGUAACGGCCUACCUAGGCGAUGAUGCGUAGCCGACCUGAGAGGGCGUACGGCCACACUGGGACUGAGAUACGGCCCAGACUCCUACGGGAGGCAGCAGUAGGGAAUCUUCGGCAAUGAGCGAAAGCCUGACCGAGCAACGCCGCGUGAGUGAGGAAGGCCUUCGGGUUGUAAAACUCUGUUGUUUGGGAAGAAGGGAAAGGGUAGGACCCUUAGGUGACGGUACCAAACGAGAAAGCCCCGGCUAACUACGUG
rnacentral:rRNA from 1 species